ACCCCGGCUAACUCCGUGCCAGCAGCCGCGGUAAUACGGAGGGGGUUAGCGUUGUUCGGAAUUACUGGGCGUAAAGCGCGCGUAGGCGGACCAGAAAGUUGGGGGUGAAAUCCCGGGGCUCAACCCCGGAACGGCCUCCAAAACUCCUGGUCUUGAGUUCGAGAGAGGUGAGUGGAAUUCCGAGUGUAGAGGUGAAAUUCGUAGAUAUUCGGAGGAACACCAGUGGCGAAGGCGGCUCACUGGCUCGAUACUGACGCUGAGGUGCGAAAGUGUGGGGAGCAAACAGGAUUAGAUACCCUGGUAGUCCACACCGUAAACGAUGAAUGCCAGUCGUCGGGUAGCAUGCUGCUCGGUGACACACCUAACGGAUUAAGCAUUCCGCCUGGGGAGUACGGUCGCAAGAUUAAAACUCAAAGGAAUUGACGG
rnacentral:rRNA from 1 species